rnacentral:tRNA from 1 species
CAAACGAUAGCUCAUCUGGUAGAGCAUCGGAUUUCCACUCCGAGGGUAGUGGGUUCGAAUCCCACUCGUUGA